rnacentral:rRNA from 2 species
UUGUCUCUCCCAUUGGAUAACCGUGGGAAUCUAGAGCUAAUACGUAGCAGUUCAUUGGUCUGCCCUCGGGUAGGCCAAAGCAUUUAUUAGACUAAACCAUCUACUACGCUUGCGUAGUAAGGGGAAUCUGGAUAACUUUGCUGAUCGUAUGGCCUUGUGCCGGCGACGUUUCAAUUGAGUUUCUGCCCUAUCAACUUGUUGGUAAGGUAUUGGCUUACCAAGGUUGCAACGGGUAACGGGGAAUCAGGGUUCGAUUCCGGAGAGGGAGCCUGAGAAACGGCUACCACAUCCAAGGAAGGCAACAGGCGCGCAAAUUACCCAAUCUAGACAGUGGGAGGUGGUGAAGAGAAUUACUAAGUGGUGGUCAAAUUGAUCACUCGUUUGGAAUGAACGUAACUUAAGAAAUUCGUUGAGAAACAACUGGAGGGCAAGUCCUGGUGCCAGCAGCCGCGGUAAUUCCAGCUCCAGUAGUUUGCUUUAAAGUUGUUGCGUUUAAAACGCUCGUAGUUGGAUCACGCAGCCGCGUCCAGUAAUCUGCGGCCUGUUCUGCGGGAAGUGUCCGUCUCGCACGGCGCGCCUGCUGAACGGGCCACUGAUAUUAACGCUGGACACGGCUAGUUGCACGUGAGAUAGGUUGUUGGCCUUAAAUGAGCCGGUAACCCCGUCUUGCGGAGUGUGCCUUGAACAAAACAGAGUGCUCAAAGCAGGCGUUUGCCUGAAUGUUAUAGCAUGGAACGAACAAUCGUGUAUAUGUGCGCGCCAUCUGGUGGCCACGAGCCUUUGGUUCGUAGCUGUUAGAGGCGUGCACGGCACCCACCAAAAUAUGGCUGUUGGUUCCAUAUACGGUGAUGAUUAAAAGGAGCGGUUGGGGGCAUCGGUAUUUGGCCGCGAGAGGUGAAAUUCUUAGACCGGCCAAGGACUAACAAAUGCAAAGGCACUUGUCUAGACCGUAUCCAUUAAUCAAGAACGAAAGUGGGAGGUUCGAAGACGAUCAGAUACCGUCCUAGUUCCCACUGUAAACUAUGCCGACCUGGGAUCAGUCCAGAGAUGUUGCAAGCUCUAGAUUGGUCCCCCUGGGAAACCUAAAGUUUUUCGGUUACGGGGAGAGUAUGGUCGCAAGGCUGAAACUUAAAGGAAUUGACGGAAGGGCACCACCAGGGGUGGAGCCUGCGGCUUAAUUUGACUCAACACGGGGAAACUUACCUGGUCCGGACAUCGAUAGGAUUAACAGAUCAAUAGCUCUUUUAUGAUCCGAUGAGUGGUGGUGCAUGGCCGUUCUUAGUUCGUGGAGUGAUCUGUCGGCCUAAUCGCGGUAACGAACGAGACCACAGUCUCCAUUUAAGAGAUGGGAGUAGGCGCUAAUCUAGACAGCUUCACGGUCGUCUAAGGUUGGUGCUGCAGGAAGCGUGGAUGGCUGAGUGAGCGAGCGGAGGAAGGCAACUUUCGAAGUGAGUUUGCUCGGUUGAACAUGUCUCCCUCUCAUCACGCAGAUGUUGGUAUCAACUGGCAGCUGCCUUAUGGAGAGACAAUCGCAGGUAUAAACAAGCUCGAGGAAGAGUGGCUAUAACAGGUCAUGG